UGGCGCAAGGGUGAGUAAUGCAUAGAUUACCUACCUCUAGGAUAAGGACAACUUUGUGAAAACGAAGCUAAUACUUAAUAAUACAAAAGAAAAUAAUUUUCAUUUGUCAAUGGGAGGGUAGCAAUACCCUUUGCCUGGAGAGGGGUUUAUGUCCUAUCAGCUUGUUGGUGGGGUAAUGGCCUACCAAGGCGAAGACGGGUAGCCGGUCUUAGAGGAUGGUCGGCCACACUGGGACUGAGACACUGCCCAGACUUCUACGGAAGGCUGCAGUCGAGAAUCUUUCGCAAUGCCCGAAAGGGUGACGAAGCGACGCCGCGUGAGUGAGGAAGGCCUUCGGGUUGUAAAGCUCUGUCAGGAGUUAAGAAAUAUAAGUGUGCUAAUACCGCAUUUAUUUGACAAAAGCUCCAAAGGAAGCCACGGCUAACUCUGUGCCAGCAGCCGCGGUAAUACAGAGGUGGCAAGCGUUGUUCGGAAUUAUUGGGCGUAAAGAGCACGUAGGUGGGUUCGUAAGUCAGAUGUGAAAGCCUUCUGUUCAACGGAAGAAUUGCAUCUGAAACUGCGAGUCUUGAGUGUAGGAGGGGAGAAUGGAACUUCUGGUGGAGCGGUGAAAUGCGUAGAUAUCAGAAGGAACGCCGGCGGCGAAAGCGAUUCUCUGGCCUAUUACUGACACUCAGUGUGCGAAAGCUAGGGGAGCAAACGGGAUUAGAUACCCCGGUAGUCCUAGCCGUAAACGAUGGGCACUAAG
rnacentral:rRNA from 1 species